UUGAAUUAAUUCAAUGUGGGUCAUACACUUUGGGAAUGGAACCCAAAUAAAGUGGUGGAACAUACAUUGAUUUUAUCCAA
rnacentral:pre_miRNA from 1 species